UCAAUUAAAAAAACAGGCUUGCUUGCUGUAUGGAGAAAGAGGAAGAGAACGGAGUGGUAAAAAUACAAACGAAAGGCUUGAGAAAUAUAUAGUCACAAAGAGAGACAGUUUGUAUGGCGCCAAGAGAGAAAAAGAGAGAGGCGAUGAGGCCUGAGAGAGACAUGGAGAAAGAAACUGAGAAAGGGGAAGAAUCAGACCACCGGAACCACAAGCACAUAGAAAGAAAAAUCUAUGGCCCAUCAAAACCGUAAAUUUUUUUAGAUUUGGAAUGAUUGAGAGGGAUACAGAGAUAGUGUUCGUGAAUGUCGCUGCCACCAGCGUCAGUCCGGCUUCCUACCACCGUCAGUAGCCUCGCCAUAGAAGAAAAAUCUAUGGACCAUCAACACCGUAAGGCCAUAUACGCACCACCAUCAGAUUAUCGGAACUGCCGCCAGUACCUUCUUUCCCCCUUUUUAGAUCUAGGUUUAUUGUUCGGUUAAGGUUUAUCGGAACCGCAGGCACAGAGAGACAGGCUAUAUACCCGUAACCGAUCACUCAUCCCUGACUUAUAAGACUUUUGGCUACUAUUGGAUAAGAGCUACUAAAUUAAAUUGAAAGAUAUUGACGUUGACAUGGGCCAUUCCUUUGGAGAAACUAGAAUUAACAUAAGUACAGAUGAUACUUUGGUAAAAGGACACAAAAGACAAAUUUGUCAGAAAAACAAGGGAGGACAGCAGUUCUCUAUUUACAACUGCCAUAUCUGCUAAAGAGGAAAAUCAGAUGAUGAUAGCAUACCAAUUCAAAUGCUUCACAAACGAAGCACGGCUACUAAACAAAAUGCAUUGAAGAAGAAGAAAAUUUGAAGAGAAAAAAAAUAACCAGUAGAUGUACUACAUUACCCAGAUGAAAUGUAAUGUAUUUUAUUAUAUUCUUAUGUUAAGUUGAUAGAAUUUUAAAUAUGUAAAAUGUUCCUGUGUAUUGCGUGUGUUAAAUGAUUUGUAUUGAAUA